AGGUUAUAAUUCAGGUGAGAGAAGAUGGUGUGAAUGAGGGUUGUUGUGGUGGAGUUGUUAGAAGGGGUCAGGUUCUGAUUAUGUUGAUAUUUUUAACAUAGAACUAAUAAGAUUUCCUGAAGGAAGGAGAAUUUAUGGAGGGAAAGGUGGCAGAAUUAAGAGAUCUAUUUUGGAAAUGUGGACUUUGAGAUGACGAUUAUCUUAGUGGAAAUGUCAGAUAAGUAGUUAGAUAUACAAGUGUGGAGUUCAGGAGAGUUUAGGGCUUGAGACACAGAUUUGGGAGUUAUUGGCAAGUAGAUGUCUUUUAAAACCCAGAGGCUGGGUGGACUCACUGAGGAAUGGAGAUAGAGGAGAAGAGGCCAAGAACAGAGCCCUGGGUAGUCUAAUAUUUAGAGAUCUGGUGGAGGAGGAAGAACUUCAAGAGGAUUUAAAAGUGUGACUGGUCACACAGGAGGAAAUCCAAGAGUGUGACAUCAUGGAAGCCAAGCGGAGACAAUGCUGCAAAAAGAAGGAACUAGUCAACUUUGUUAAUGCUGCUCAGAGGCUAAAUAAGCUAAGAACAGGUCCAUUAGUGUGGCAAUGAGAGGUCUUUGUGGAGUAACAGAGGGAGAAGUACAGUUCGGUAAGUGAAAUAAGGAUAUGAAGACCACAUUUAUAGAUAAUUGGAGUAGAGAUGGAGGCCUUUAGGAAACUGGAUCAGGUGAAGUGUUGUUUUGCUUUGUUUUGAUUUAUUUUAAGAUAAGAGAUAAUAGUGGCUAUGAAAAUAAUCCAGGAAAGACUCCUGAAAUAGAGAAAAAAAGAGAAUUGGAGGAGGGAAGCCUUGGAGAAGGUUAGAGAAAUGGUUCUUUGCUAGGGUAGAGAUGUUUAAUUCAUUGUGUUAGGAGGGAUGGCAAAGAUGUGGAAUGUACAUAGAUGGGGAGAUGAGACAACUUCUGCCUAAUGGUUUAUAUUUUCCUCGAAGUAUUUUCUAAAUUUCAUUAACUGAGAAAGGGUAAGCGACAUGAGAAACUUGAAGGAAGAGAAGGCAGUGUGAAAUAGCAAACAUAUAGGAAAUGUAGUAGUAUUAUCAGAGCCCUUUUGAAAUCUGUGGUCAUAAAUUUCAGGUGAGACCCAUCCACAAUUUUCAGAUGCUUAGUGCAGGGGUGAGGUAUUACAAAUACUUUAACCACAGUUUUGAGUUUGCCAGACAAGUCGAAUGAAAGGACAAGGUACAGGUGUUUUCCAGGGUGUGAUAUUAAUGAUAGACCAUGGAAUCUAAGCCAGAUGAAGAAAGAAGGGAGGACAUGGAGAGGGAUAAUGAGCUAUGGAAAUGAUCAAAAUAUUAAUUUCGAAUCUAUUUUCAAAUGUCCCUAAAAAUGUCACAAAAUGAGGAAGGGAAAGAUGGCAUCAGAUGUGUAAUUUUUAUAUGGUACUUUAUACCUUCAAGUACACUGAGAAAGACAUUUUAUAAUAUUUCUUUGACUUGAAUCUGGAGGUGGGUUACUGUCAAGAACUGUGAAGGGUCUGAGGUUCUUAAUACACUAGUCUGUUACUGUUUCAUGGACGUCAACAAGGCAUGAGAAUCCUGGUUCAGAGACAAAAGAUAGUAUUCAUGGCACAGCAAACACCGUGAGUAUCGUGAGUAUCAACUUAUUUCUGUUGCUUCCCUUUUUCCCUUAGUCCCCACAGGGUGACAUGAUGGGCCCAGAUGGAUGCUAUAGACAUAGCCGGUUUGUGUCACAGCUGAGGAACAAGUUGCAAACGCUGUAGCACAGAGCAAACAAGCCAGCCUUCCUACGCCCAGAGAGUGAGCCAUUACACUGAAGUCAAGCUGUGGUCACCUUGACCUACUUAAUUGCCUAUGGGACUAGCAUUUGCCUGUGGAUAAAUCAGUCUUGCAGUUUGGCACACUCAGCAAUAAUAUGCAGGACCCCUCUGGGCCCAUGGUGAACUGUCUGUCCCAGUAGUUACACUACCUUCAAAUGGGUAAAAUGAGUCAUGAACAAGGUUCAUAGUUUACAUUUCAAUAAUUUAUUCUAAACAUAAAAUAUUCCUUAACAUACACAUUUUCAACAUAUAUUUUCAAAACUACUCCUAUAAAUAUACCAAUAAAAAUUUCCAAGGUUGUCUCUGAAAUGUGCAAUAAGAAAUACGAACAAAACCAUGUGAUGGUAUAUAUAAAAAUACUCUGGAUUUCUCUAGGUUUAAUUAAAAUUGUUCAUUAUUUCCUAGAGGUGUUAGACCAUAACGGUAAACUAUAUUCUAAACUGUAUAGAUCAAUUUUUACAUUUUUUUCCUCUAGAAUUCUUUAAAAAUAUGAUAGAAAAACUGAAUAUAAAUCAGAAACUCAGUUGCAUUAAAACCAGGAAGAAUUAAUAGGGAAGAACUUCCUUUCUUAAUCAAAAAGCUUUCAGUCCUGUUAGACGCACUUGAAAACCCUUACUAUCAAGAAAGGUAUGAAAUCUUUAGUGUUCCUGGAGGAUAUUUUGACACUCCAAAGGAGAAAAUAAGCAUGACUACAUUUUUAUGUUCCCUCUGUCCUUAGUCUCCAGCGGCUUGAGGGUGAGUGCUGAUGAACGAGCUUUGCUGCUUAUCCUUGGUUCAGGCAUGUUUGCUUAAAGUCAGGGCACCAAAGAAAUCCAGAAAAGGCUGUCGUUAAUUCAUCUGUCUUUAAUUACCUCUCUAUUCCAGCCUCUCCAGCGUCUGUUUUUCCUGGAAUGUGCCAGAAACACAUUCCCAUCUCAAAGGCUGUGCCUGGGCUAGUUCUUCUGCAGGAAACAUGCUAUCUCCAGAGAUCCUCAUGGUUCAGUCCCUCUCUGCCUUCAGGUUUUCACUGAAAUAUCCCUCAAUGGGGCCUACUCUGACCACCCUAUCCACCAGGCCAUCAAUAACCAAAAGCCCGAAUCCUGGAUGUAUAUAUUGCUACAUUCGUUAUAUAGAAUAUUUACUAUCUUUCAGUGUGAACUCCCCCCAACACCUUCUUGUUGUUUGACGAAAGUCAUGUUUCAUGGCCAGAAAAAUGUUAUUAAAUUUUAUGUCUUUAACUUGCAGUUCCCUUAAGGAGUAGAUGUGAAGCUUCACACUUCUGACCCCUGGUCCACAUGCCUGCAAUUCCCAGGCAUGAGGGCAACUCCUGGAACUCCUCACAAGGCCCCUGCAGCCCUGGCCCAGCUGGAGUGUGGGCGGCCGAGGAGGCUGCUGUCUCUUCAAUGGAUUUUGACCAGCCACCAAGAUUUCCAGCAAAGUAAGGAAGGAUGCUAGCAGAAAUCUGGUUAAAGAACAAAUUAAUCUGCAGAUGUUUCAUCAAACUUACGGUACAUGAACUGCUGUCAAUAGCACGGAUGAGAAAUCCAGCACUUAUGAUUUCACUUCUGCUGUACUGUGGAGAAGGUGGGACUGAUGGCAGAAUAACUGACCUCACUGCCACCGUGGUGCUUUGAAGACAGUGUUGAAAUUUGCUAUCUUAUAAUCAUUCCCAUGGCAACAAGCUGUGAGAAGACAAACAAACACAGGGUUAAGACUUCACUGCAGGAAUCAAGCAGAUGGAAAAAUCAGGCUGUGAGGGAGAAAACCUUUAUUUAAACAUAAAUAUCUUUAGGAAGAGAAUGAAGAAAUGAGAAACUGACUAAAAGCAGCUUAGAAAGACAUGAGUUUGUCCUUUGCUAUGCUGCUCAUGAAUGCUCGGAUGCCAGCAAUGAUGCAAGAAACAGAUUUCAUAUUAGUAAAAGAAAACAGUCUUGAAGCAGCUUUUAUGAGGGAUAAAGAGAAGCAAGUAACUUAGUUAUGUUAAACCUGUAUUUCUGCAUCACUGAACCAAACACACAGAUGGAAACCUAACUGGAUCCAAAGAAGGUAAGGAAGACCCUGAAAGGAUUCAGAACUGAGCACCAAGACAUAAUAAAAGCAAACAACCAAAGCCAAAACACGCAGAGGAGGUCAAAGUCAGAGCUGAAAACAAUAAGUGAAGUAACUGAAUUUGCUUUGAUUUCAGGGAGUUUUAUUUUUCAGGAAUAGCAAGAAAGUAGUUGAGACAUUUUAUGGUGACACCACAGUGGACUGGAUUUCCCCAUGUGAAGAACUCUGAAGCUCUGGUCCUCAUGAUCACACACUGCAGAAGUGUAGAGUGGGUCAGAUUGGAAUUAAAUCCUAUGAAAACAACUGGAAAAUUGGACCAAGUAUAGGAGGCAACUAUUUUCACACAUAGGACAACAGACAACACAGACCUGUGAUCUCCAAGGAAAGGGAGAUAAAUGAAGGGAGCACUUGCAUUUCCUGGGUUCUCAGCCUGCACAUAAUUCCCAGACUAUGACCAAGGAGGGGAAAUGGAAACUUGCUGAAUUGAAGAACCAGAAAUCAAGGAGAUCAAGGCAGCUGAGAUUAUCCCAGAAAGGAGGGAGCUACAAAAGGAAAGAAUUCCAGAGAUCAAAGGGACUGCUACUGAGCAAACUACAAGUUGCAACAUGGGAUCCAUGAACUCCUUUCCUGCUAUUUUAACCUGGAUAGAGACUUCAGAAGCUCCCAAGAAUUUUGUAUUCAUAGCUAUAAUAAAGAAAAGAAAACCAGCUCAUACAUUUAACAAAUGUUUACUAAGUUACAACUAGUCCUGGCACUAAACUAAGACCUCAGGAUACAGUGAUUAACAAGACAAGGUUGAUGACAUCAAGGAGACCAGUCUUCACUUGGGACACCAGGAUGCAGACAGAUGAAGUGCAAUGCUAUGAAAUUUUUCAAAAGGAAGAAAGAAUCAAGUAUUGCAAAAACACCCAGAAGUGACUAAUUUGAAAAGUCAAGGAAGGAGCCAUAGAAGAGUGUGACAGAUAUGAAUUCAACAGGACCAGUCUGUUCUGGUUCUUGGUUUUGAUUGCCCUUCAUGCAGUAUGCCAGUAAAAGCAGAGAAACCCUAAAGCUAUUUCUGAUUUCCUGGGGAAACUGAGAGAAGCUGAGGAACAGCUAAGUGGAUAUAGUCCAGGUAUGAUGACUGAUAAAAAUGAUGGUGGCUUCAUUCAUUCUUUCUUUUAAGUAAUAUUGAUUGAACACUUGUGCUAUGCCAGCCUCUCUGUAAGGUGCUGGAAAUAUAAAACAGCUACUAUCCCUAUUCUCAUGGAAUCUAGUGAGGAGCCAGACAUUAAUUAAAUGAAUACAUAAUAACAAAAUGAGUUAGGUGAUCUGAAGGAAACAUGGAUUUUGUGAGGGUCUGUAAACUGAAGAACCACACCUAGGUGGCAUGUCAGGGAAGGUUUCCCUGUGGAGAGGAUGCUUGAAGUGAGAUCUGAAAGAUGAGAAGGAGUAAAACAGAUGUGUGUUGUGGAGGAGAGCAAGGAAGGGCUUGCUGGGCAGAAGGAACAGUGACUACAAAGGUCCUGGGGUUUUUGUGGCAAAAAUGCAAAAAGCAAGAAGGAGAGUAGGUAAGAUAAGGCUGAGGGGAAGGCUGAGGAUAAACCAUUCACAGGGCCUUGAAGCUCUUGGUUGACAAUUUUUAUAAUAUUUAGUAUUAAAGAUAUUGUUUCAGUAUCUUCUGGUCUCCAGAUGAGGCCGGUGGCUAAUUCUAACAAGGUCAGUGGCUAAUUCUAAUCCUUGUUUUCCUACAAGGAUUAACAUUAACCGUGUUUCCAAACCAACUUUAUCAUAAAGGUUUCUUCAAUAUUGUAUCAUUAGUAAUAUAACUAUUAAGGUCCACAGUAAUUGGUUAUCAAUUGACUCCUGCUGUGAUCCGAGUUUCCAAAGGUGUAAAACCAUAGAAAUCUUAAUGAAAAUUGCAGGAGGGCAAUUGUUUCUCCAUUAUAGGACAGAAGCACUAAGUGAGGUAACUUUAAAAGUCACAUCAAUAUUCACAUAAUGAAUUCAGUUGCCAUGGCAAUAGGCAUGGCAACUGAAUAAUUUCUAUACUUGUUUCUCAUACAUGUGAAUUACUUUUAUAUUCAUGUCUCCAUUAUUGUUAUUAUAACAGACCUCAAAUCCUGAUAAAAACUGUUAAGACAGAAACCAAACAGACCUAUCAACAAACAGAAAAUAAACAGAUUGGCAUCAGAUAUAUGACUGAAUUUUGCGGGUGGUUAACACACAGGGGAUUAGAAACUCUAUGCACACUCAUUGAAGAAAACAGGAAUUUGUAAUCAGCUGAGCUUUACUUUUGUCCUGUAUAAAAUAAGAGUCCUGGGAUACAUGAUCUUAAGCUCCUUCCAGCUCUAAUAUUUUAUCCUAACAUAUUUUACUUAAAAUGUACAUUUGCUGAGUCUAUUAAGUGCCUUACGCAAAGCCUGUCUUCCUUUUAGAAAUGAGAUUCCAAGUUCUGGACCCAUCCAUCCAAUUACCCAUCCAUAUAAUCAGGAAGUUUUUAUUUAGUGCUUAUUUAUUAAGUGCUUACUAAGCUUCAGUUUACAUGCUAAUUGGCCAGGCAGGAAAUAAAAGGUGAACAUAUAGGUACACAAAGUAAUUACGGAUUGUGCUAAGUGGUGUGGAGGAAUUUGGAAAGGGUGUUGUGAUGAAAGGGUGCAAAUGUAAAGCAGGUAGUUAGGAAAGACUGCUCUGCAUAAAUGAUAUUUAGUGGAGAUGGAAUGCAUGGAAAGGGCCAAGAGAAGAGUGUAAAGGCAAAAAUAACAGCAGGUGCAAAGGUCCUUCGCAGAGACUACAUGACGGUGUGGAAGGCAACAAACUGAAUUCAGAAGCAGAUAUAAGAGGUGAGUGAUGUAUUAAACUAGACAUUAAAGAGAUUUGCAGAAAUGUAAACCAGUACCACUUCUCUAAGUACAUUUUUGUUCUUGCUGAAAAUAUAGUUAUUUUACAAUAAAAAUAUGUAAUGGGUUUUUGUUCUUU